rnacentral:rRNA from 1 species
AAUCAACGCUGGCGGCGUGCCUCAGACAUGCAAGUCGAACGAUUAAAGCUCUCUUCGGAGAGUGUAUAGAGUGGCGCACGGGUGAGUAACACGUAAGUAAUCUACCCUCGGGUGGGAAUAACAUCGGGAACCGAUGCUAAUACCGCAUAAUGCAGCGGCUCCUAAUGGAGACAGUUGUUAAAGGAUUUAUUCGCCUGAGGAGGAGCUUGCGGCAGAUUAGCUAGUUGGUAAGGUAAUGGCUUACCAAGGCUACGAUCUGUAGCCGGUCUAAGAGGACGGUCGGUCACACUGACACUGAAUAACGGGUCAGACUCCUACGGGAGGCAGCAGUCGGGAAUUUUGGGCAAUGGGCGAAAGCCUGACCUAGCAACGCCGCAUGAAGGAUGAAGUAUUUCGGUAUGUAAACUUCGAAAGAAUAGGAAGAAUUAAUGACGGUACUAUUUAUAAGGUCCGGCUAACUACGUGCCAGCCGCCGCAGUAAC